UUAAGAGAGGUCCGGCCUAGU
rnacentral:siRNA from 1 species